UUCCUACGGGUGGCAGCAGUGGGGAAUUUUGGACAAUGGGGGCAACCCUGAUCCAGCAAUGCCGCGUGUGUGAAGAAGGCCUUCGGGUUGUAAAGCACUUUUGUCCGGAAAGAAAACGCUCUGGUUAAUACCUGGGGUGGAUGACGGUACCGGAAGAAUAAGCACCGGCUAACUACGUGCCAGCAGCCGCGGUAAUACGUAGGGUGCGAGCGUUAAUCGGAAUUACUGGGCGUAAAGCGUGCGCAGGCGGUUGUGUAAGACAGUCGUGAAAUCCCCGAGCUCAACUUGGGAAUUGCGCUUGUGACUGCAAGGCUAGAGUAUGUCAGAGGGGGGUAGAAUUCCACGUGUAGCAGUGAAAUGCGUAGAGAUGUGGAGGAAUACCGAUGGCGAAGGCAGCCCCCUGGGACGUCACUGACGCUCAUGCACGAAAGCGUGGGGAGCAAACAGGAUUAGAUACCCGGGUAGUCCA
rnacentral:rRNA from 1 species